UGCGGAAAGAAAAGGCAUGUCGAUAUUUGCAAAAAUGGUGCUUUCGUCUGACCAAUUCCAAACGCGAACAGUUUGCGUGAUCCAAUCUAAUAACUUCAAGAGCAUCAAACGGCAACACAGAUGGAGAUCCAUACAGUAUGAAGAUGAAUACAGAUGAAGAUCCAUUCUUUUUGCUUUUAAAACAACGAAACAACUCAAGAAGACAUAAGGAAAAAGGUCGCUCAUCUCGCACCUAAAAAAAAAACGGUGGGCAUGUGAAGUAUCCCGUUUCAAGGAGUGUUAGGAGAUGUACGUUAUGAAUGGACCAAGCAAGUACAGGUAACUAAACGUCCAGUUGUAGAAGCCGAACGCAAUAGGGUUGGUGGGAUGG